rnacentral:lncRNA from 1 species
GUAAAAACUUUCAACUAUUUCUAUUUCUUCGGUGUCAUUUAAGAGGCUUUCAAGGUGCACUGUACUUCUCAGCCCAGAUCUUACUCAUAGAGGAAAUCUGAUCUGCUGCAGCACGGAAACUUCAGCAGUGAGAUGGCGAGACAAAUUCCUUAGGGAGCUGCUUGUAAGUCUGGUCAACAUUUAAGAUGAAAAGUUUUGCAUUUUCUUUGGCAGG